AGCUGGAGUCCACCAUGAAGCUGGUCACCAAUCUUUCUGGCCAGCUGUCAGAACUAAAGGACCAGGGAGUUGUCAGAAGAGGUUCUGAUGGGUACCAGGAGGUGCAAGAUCUGUUUCCAUAGCAGACAAAUAAUACACGUCACUGAAAGAUCAUCAGCGUUUUCCCAAUCCACUCUUCCUGGCCUUAGGAAACCAAAGGAAACAAGAUGGUUGCUGCUGUCUAACAAACCAUCCCCAAACUAGAUGAGUGAAGAUGGCAUCUCUUUCACUGUUGCUCAGAAUCCUGUGGUUGAUCAAGUUCAAGUAAGCCCUUCUGUUUCCGAUGACGUCAGCUGGUACUGUGUCCAUCUGGGGCAUAGUUAAGAUGUUUGCUGUAUUCUCUGGCUAUCUGCAUACUCCCUGGGCACGCAGUUGCUGCUUUUCUGAGAAUUGGCAUCCAGCCUUUAACAGUCCAGCUGUAAAAGAAGAGAGAAUGCCUGUGUUCCCCAUGAUUCCUGACUCGCUGGCGCACAGAAGUGGAAGGACGGACUCAGGACUUCUUUGUCAGGAAGACCAAACACUCAGGAGUCCAGAGCAAGCACUGAACUUGACAAACACCAAGUAGAUCCAUUCUACCAGUCAGGGAUGAUGUUGGCAUCACGAGAGAGAACCUGCAAAGACUUCUUCUGGCUGCCUCAGAGGACAAAGUUGGGCGAGGAGGUGAAAGUGCUUUCCCACAUGAACUAUCCUAAAGAACCAAAGGAAACAGUUNCGUAUGGCCUUGUCAAGUAUGUCACUGUGGGUGUGGGCUUAGAGACCGCCUCCUAGCUUUCUGGAAGACUUCUUUUGUUUGCCUUCGGAACAAGCUGUAGAACUCUCGGCUCCUCCAGCGCCUGGAUGCUGUUAUGCUUCCUGCCUUGAUGGUACUGGACUGAACCUCCAAUCCUGUAAGCCAGCCUCAAAUAAAUGUUGUCUUUUAUAAG
rnacentral:lncRNA from 1 species